rnacentral:rRNA from 1 species
AAUACCCCAUAGUAUCAUUUUUUCGCCUGUGAAGAUGAUUAAAACUUCGGUGGUACAAGAUGGGCAUGCGUAGGAUUAGCUAGUUGGUGAGGUAAUGGCUCACCAAGGCGACGAUCCUUAGGGGUUCUGAGAGGAUUAUCCCCCACACUGGUACUGAGACACGGACCAGACUCCUACGGGAGGCAGCAGUGAGGAAUAUUGGUCAAUGGGCGCGAGCCUGAACCAGCCAUCCCGCGUGCAGGAUGACGGCCCUAUGGGUUGUAAACUGCUUUUCUAUGCCAAGAAACGCCGCUACGUGUAGCGGUUUGCCGGUAGCAUAGGAAUAAGCAUCGGCUAACUCCGUGCCAGCAGCCGCGGUAAUACGGAGGAUGCAAGCGUUAUCCGGAUUUAUUGGGUUUAAAGGGUGCGCAGGCGGGCUUGUAAGUCAGUGGUGAAAUGCUGCCGCUUAACGGUAGAAUUGCCAUUGAUACUGCAGGUCUUGAAUAUAGUUGAGGUAGGCGGAAUGUGUUGUGUAGCGGUGAAAUGCAUAGAUAUGACACAGAACACCGAUUGCGGAGGCAGCUUACUAAGCUAUGAUUGACGCUGAGGCACGAAAGCGUGGGGAGCGAACAGGAUUAGAUACCCUGGUAGUCCACGCCGUAAACGAUGAUCACUCGCUGUUUGCGAUACACAGUAAGCGGCUGAGCGAAAGCAUUAAGUGAUCCACCUGGGGAGUACGAUCGCAAGGUUGAAACUCAAAGGAAUUGACGGGGGCCCGCACAAGCGGAGGAACAUGUGGUUUAAUUCGAUGAUACGCGAGG